UUGUGUGCUAGACACCAGGUGGCGCGAAUUAUGUAGGCGCACCACUAGCCCGCACUCCGUCAGUCUCAAGCGUUGGCUGUAGAAGUUCUCCGCCAACCUGGCGUGUGUGUCUGUGCUGGUCGGUCUCAAGCGUUGGUUGUAGAAGUUCUCUGGCUGUAGAAGUUCUCCGCCAACCUGGCGUGUGUGUCUGUGCUGGUCGGUCUCAAGCGUUGGUUGUAGAAGUUCUCUGCCAACCCAGCUGUACAUGCCGCAGAUUACUUCAAUCGGAAGGCGUCAUGAUGGUAUGCUAGAGAUUUAUAAUCUGUAGAUCAUGUUGAGUUCUCCUUUACUUGAUCAUUCUUUAUUUGCUAUCCUUUCAUCUUCAAUAUUUCAGAGAUAACACCCUACUAUGGUAACUACUAGAGUGUGCCCUUCUUACACCCCAGUUUAAUAGGGUGUUCGCUCUUAUGGUAACACCGGUGAUACAGACAAGAAAGUAGAAGGGGCGUGUCCCUACCUGGCACCACCCCAACUUCCUCUCAAGAGGCCCGCAACGGUGGGCCCAACCACUAGUUUGCUACAAGUGACUCUCCUCGCGCCGCACCUCUAUCCAGGAAGAACAUCGCCUCACGGCGAUUCUCAUGAUGCAGCGCGCCGCAGGUCGAGCUCUCGCUCAAAGCUUCGCCAUGGCAACUCUCUCCUCUUCCCCGACGAUUGUGCGUCACUCACUCCGUCUCCACGAAGGCGGCAUGACGGGGUGUACGCGGCGCCGCGCUGGUGCCCGGAUGAUGUUCGACGAAAUGGCCGUGAGGGUCCUCGGGUGUGAGCGAGCCCGCACCAAUCAGGUCAGCGUGUUGUGCUGUCCCUGGUCUCCUAAGACUGCUGCCACUAAUUUUGAAUGCUCACGUUGGUUCUCUCUUGUUACAUAGUAGUACGUCUAGAAGCUGGUAGUUGCUGCCUGAUUUGGUUAGCACAUAUCCUGAUUAGCUCGCAAUUUUGCCACAAGAAGCCUUCCUGAAAAGAGAAGAGCAUGGUCAAGGAAAGUUGCUGAGCAAAGCAAAUGACUCCCAAGUCACCAUCAUCUUUCCACGGUGCAUGAAAAGAACAGCUGAGCUGCCCUUCCAGGACAUUCUUUCACAGGCUGGAGGCUGGAGGUGGAGUGGUUCACAACGCAACUGGUGAUAGAUAAGUUUCAGCACGUGUCCCUUUCCUGUUGGCAAUACAAAAUCACUCUUUGCAACGUCCGGAUAUUGACGUCCGGGACAGCAAACACCAG
rnacentral:lncRNA from 1 species